rnacentral:rRNA from 1 species
UACGAAGGGGGCUAGCGUUGCUCGGAAUUACUGGGCGUAAAGCGCACGUAGGCGGCUCUUUAAGUCGGAGGUGAAAUCCUGGAGCUCAACUCCAGAACUGCCUUCGAUACUGUAGAGCUUGAGUUCGGGAGAGGUGAGUGGAACUGCGAGUGUAGAGGUGAAAUUCGUAGAUAUUCGCAAGAACACCAGUGGCGAAGGCGGCUCACUGGCCCGGUACUUACGCUGAGGUGCGAAAGCGUGGGGAGCAAACAGG